rnacentral:rRNA from 1 species
CAACAACGAAGAGUUUGAUCCUGGCUCAGGAUGAACGCUAGCGACAGGCUUAACACAUGCAAGUCGAGGGGCAGCGGGAUUGAAGCUUGCUUCAAUUGCCGGCGACCG